GACGUAGGGGGCAAGCGUUAUUCGGAAUCAUUGGGCGUAAAGCGCUCGUAGGCGGAUCGGACAGUCGGUGAAGAAAGACCCGGGCUCAACUCGGGGAACGGCACCGAUACUAUCGAUCUUGAGGCAAUCAGAGGGUGAUGGAAUUCCCGGUGUAGCGGUGAAAUGCGUAGAUAUCAGGAGGAACACCUGUGGCGAAAGCGGCGCACUGGACCACAACUGACGCUGAGGCGCGAAAGCUAGGGGAGCAAACAGG
rnacentral:rRNA from 1 species